AAUAAAGCAUCUUUCCCACGAAAAGCAGUAAAACCUAAAGGUGUCUCCGAAAGAAAAGAACUAAUCAUUAGUGCGUAAUUGAAAAGAUACGCAAUACGCAAUAUUAAAGGUUUGACUUUGUCGUAACACGAAACAAAUUUCUUUCUAAGCCGACCUAUGUCUUUUUUCCGGUUACGCAAAACAAAAUGUAUUAUUAUACAUUAGUCCUUUGACCUUAUAUCAAUAAGCAACAUGACCGAUCGUAUUAACAUUUAAAAUACAUAGGUGGUUACUGCAGCAGAAUUAUUUCAAUUAAUUGGAAGGAAAAAAAAUAUG